rnacentral:rRNA from 1 species
AGUGAACGCUGGCGGUAGGCCUAACACAUGCAAGUCGAACGGCAGCACAGUAAGAGCUUGCUCUUACGGGCGGCGAGUGGCGGACGGGUGAGGAAUACUUCGGAUUACACUUUUUAGUGGGGGCUAAUGUCGGGAAAUUUACGCUAAUACCGCAUUCGACCUACGGGUGUAAGCAGGCGAUCUUCGGACCUUGUGCGAUGGAAUGAGCCGACGUCGGCUUCGUUCGUUGGCGGGGGAAAGGCCCACCAAGGCGACGAUCCGUAGCUGGUCUGAGGGAGUGAUCAGCCAGACUGGAAGUGAGACACGGUCCAGACUCCUACGGGGAGCAGCAGUGGGGAAUAUUGGACGAUGGGGGCAAGCCUGAUCCAGCCAUACCGCGUGGGUGAAGAAGGCCUUCGGGUUGUAGAGCCCUUUUGUUGGGAAAGAAAAGCAGCAGGUUAAUACCCCGCUGUACUGACGGUACCCAAAGAAUAAGCACCGGCUAACUUCGUG